AUUGAACGCUGGCGGCAGGCCUAACACAUGCAAGUCGAGCGGAUGAAGGGAGCUUGCUCCUGGAUUCAGUGGCGGACGGGUGAGUAAUGCCUAGGAAUCUGCCUGGUAUUGGGGGAUAACGUCCGGAAACGGGCGCUAAUACCGCAUACGUCCUGAGGGAGAAAGUGGGGGAUCUUCGGACCUCACGCUAUCAGAUGAGCCUAGGUCGGAUUAGCUAGUUGGUGGGGUAAAGGCCUACCAAGGCGACGAUCCGUAACUGGUCUGAGAGGAUGAUCAGUCACACUGGAACUGAGACACGGUCCAGACUCCUACGGGAGGCAGCAGUGGGGAAUAUUGGACAAUGGGCGAAAGCCUGAUCCAGCCAUGCCGCGUGUGUGAAGAAGGUCUUCGGAUUGUAAAGCACUUUAAGUUGGGAGGAAGGGCAGUAAGUUAAUACCUUGCUGUUUUGACGUUACCAACAGAAUAAGCACCGGCUAACUUCGUG
rnacentral:rRNA from 1 species